rnacentral:rRNA from 1 species
UACAGAGGGUGCAAGCGUUAAUCGGAAUUACUGGGCGUAAAGCGUGCGCAGACGGUUGCGUAAGUCAGAUGUGAAAGCCCCGGGCUCAACCUGGGAAUUGCAGUCGAUACUGCUCGGCUAGAGUAUGGGAGAGGGUAGUGGAAUUCCCGGUGUAGCGGUGAAAUGCGUAGAUAUCGGGAGGAACAUCAGUGGCGAAGGCGGCUACCUGGCCCAAUACUGACACUCAGGUGCGACAGCGUGGGGAGCAAACAGG